rnacentral:lncRNA from 1 species
UAUAAAACUGAAAAUAACCGUUUUUUUAUUUUUAUUUUUUUUACAUGCAUGCAAUUAUAUAUAUAUAUAUAUACAUGUACACAUACUAUAUAUAUAAAUAGUUACAUACCCUACAUCGAGUUAUAAAAUUUUUACUUUUAUGCAGAAUUCAAAGAACUAAAAAUAUCAAAAGACAAAUGGUAUGUUCUAUUUGUUCAAGAAAUUAUUAAAGAUAUUAAAAUAAAAGCAGGAGAAUAUGGUGAUCUCAGUAUUGAUUAUUUUAGAAAAAGCGAAAAUGAAGAGGAACUAGAAAACAAUAAACUGGGGUCCGUUGGUUUGUUUGCAAAUAAAGGAAACUGCAAAUUCAGGAACAUAAUAUUCAGGGGUAAAAAAUGGAGCACAGAAUACGAAAAAUUAAAGUCGAAAAAUGAUGUUUUAUUGUAUGACCUUGAAGAAAUAGAAGCGUUAUAUGAAAAAUCGCAAGGCUGGUGUCCUAAGUCUUCGUUGUGUUUAAAAAAUAAAUACGAUGUAAUGGAAUCUUAAAAACAAAAUAUUUAAUCAUUUAUUAUAUGUUAUAUACAUAUAACCAUGUAUACA